AGCAUUUGUGUUUCAUCUACCGAAGCUUUGUGGGCUACAUUCGAGCUUUCUGGGCAUUCAUGUUCUAAGCUUUCUGGGCAUUCUGCAUAUCUGUUAAUGAAUCGAGCGUCGGGCAAUCCAAGGCGAAAUGUGUGUGUCAAUUUCUUCAGGAGCUCAAUGAUGCUGUUAAGGCUAAGUUUAUAGAGGAAUAUCCAGAGACUUUGAUUCAGACCAACCCUCCUUCUUUUCUCAGUUUACCUUGGUUGUGGCCACUCAGAUUCAAUGGUGAAGCUCGACAGAAUAUGUAGGGAUGUAAAUGUGCUAUUGAUCUUUGCUCGCUCUUAUGGCCUUACUAGGCUUGUCCGUAUCAGUUUGAAGGUAACAUGUUGAAGUUUGUUGUUGAAAUUUUUUUCCCUAUCUUGUUAUUCUGG